AUGAAUCGACCUGAUGGGAUCAACAUCCACGAUGGCAAGUUCUACCCUGGACAUGCUGGCUAUGCAUGUCGGCCGGGUAUUCUUCCACCCUUCAAGAAAACCAAGUACCAUCUCAACGAGUUCUCUAGUGGGAACUAUCCUAGGACUGCACAGGAGCUAUUUAAUCUCAGACAGUCGAACCUUAGAGUAAUUGUUGAGAGGGCAUUUGGAGCUCUGAAGAAUAGGUUUAAGAUCCUAGAUCAGAAGCCAUUCCACUCAUACUCUUAG
rnacentral:rRNA from 1 species